GAUGAACGCUGGCGGCGUGCCUAAUACAUGCAAGUCGAGCGGACUAAUGGGAGCUUGCUCCCGUUAGUUAGCGGCGGACGGGUGAGUAACACGUGGGCAACCUACCUGUAAGACUGGGAUAACUUCGGGAAACCGGAGCUAAUACCGGAUGACAUAAAGGAACUCCUGUUCCUUUAUUGAAAGAUGGCUUCGGCUAUCACUUACAGAUGGGCCCGCGGCGCAUUAGCUAGUUGGUGAGGUAACGGCUCACCAAGGCGACGAUGCGUAGCCGACCUGAGAGGGUGAUCGGCCACACUGGGACUGAGACACGGCCCAGACUCCUACGGGAGGCAGCAGUAGGGAAUCUUCCGCAAUGGACGAAAGUCUAACGGAGCAACGCCGCGUGAGCGAUGAAGGCCUUCGGGUCGUAAAGCUCUGUUGUUAGGGAAGAAUAAGUGCUAGUUGAAUAAGCUGGCACCUUGACGGUACCUAACCAGAAAGCCACGGCUAACUACGUGCCAGCCGCCGCCGUAAUAC
rnacentral:rRNA from 1 species